rnacentral:rRNA from 1 species
CCUACGGGAGGCAGCAGUAGGGAAUCUUCCACAAUGGGCGAAAGCCUGAUGGAGCAACGCCGCGUGGGUGAAGAAGGUCUUCUGAUCGUAAAACCCUGUUGUUAGAGAAGAAAGUGCGUGAGAGUAACUGUUCACGUUUCGACGGUAUCUAACCAGAAAGCCACGGCUAACUACGUGCCAGCCGCCGCGGUAAUACGGCGGUGGCAAGCGUUAUCCGGAUUUAUUGGGCGUAAAGGGAACGCGGCCGGUCUUUUAAGGCUGAUGUGAAAGCCUUCGGCUUAACCGGAGUAGUGCAUUGGAAACUGGGGGACUUGAGUGUAGAAGAGGAGAGUGGAACUCCAUGUGUAGAGGUGAAAUGCGUAGAUAUAUGGAAGAACACCAGUGGCGAAGGCGGCUCUCUGGUCUGUAACUGACGCUGAGGUUCGAAAGCGUGGGUAGCGAACAGGAUUAGAUACCCGGGUAGUC